rfam:Salmo salar isolate Sally breed double haploid chromosome ssa20, whole genome shotgun sequence.
UUGUUUUUUUAGGUUUAGACUUUUGUGACUUUUAAGUGAGAAAAUCUAAACCUAAAGAAAAUA